UUAUUAGAGAGACACAGAGAA
rnacentral:piRNA from 1 species